rnacentral:tRNA from 1 species
GCGGUCGUAGCUCAGUUGGUAGAGCAAUAGGUUGUGGUCCUAUCUGUCGCGGGUUCGAUUCCCGUCGAUCGCCCCA